AUGUUCGGCAUGGACAUCAACGGCGAGAUGGCGGUGUUCGACGCCGCCACGCUCGGCGCCCUACAGUUGGUCCCGCGUCCGCCAGACAUGCCCAACCUCAGCAGCAAGAUGUACGGCUCCAUCUGCCCUCGGAAGCAAGAGUUGGAUUACGUCCACCUCGUCGCGUUGCCGAGCAAGCUGGUCCUGGUCGUGGUAAGGACCACCGUCAAGUCGUCCCGGCCGGUGGCCUUCGACCUCUUCGAGCUAGGCUCUUCUCCGGCGCCUGACGGGCAGCUCGCGUGGCGCAAGGUGGCCGAGGCUGGUAACUACGAAUUGUUCGUCGAUAGGUACCACGCAACCUUCAGGGAUAAUGACGGCGCCAACGAGGGCGGAACUCGGAUCUACUACGUCCAUGACAAGAAGAAGGUUUCUGCCGUCGCAGCAUACUGCUACAGCAUGCAGGAUAAGAAGCUGGAAUGCGUCUACAGGUCACCGGAGGAUGAUGGUCCUCCGGACUGCUUAACUAGGCCUAGUUGGUUUGUUCCUUAG
rnacentral:rRNA from 1 species